rnacentral:lncRNA from 1 species
CAACAAGCGGUCCCCCAUAUUAGACUCCAAAAGCCGCCUUAACGACUUACCACCGACGGUCACUUCAAGAAGUCAGCUAAACUAUCAACCCCUCGGCCAACUUGCCUGUCUGUCGAGGGAUCCCGCCUUCAGCUCCGCCCUGUCUCCCUUGCAGUGCAGCCUUUCCACCUCGGGCCACUUGCAGGCACUGGGCCCUGGGCAGCAGCCACCGUGCCGGGACCGAGACACCCCGGCAGGUGGGGGACAGCGAUCGUCUCCCCCCUUUCGGCGGCACGGCUUUGCAGCCACCGACAGCUCUGGGGCGGGGUGGCGCUGCCACCGCCGGCGAACGAGCGCCCCGUCUGUCACCUCCGCUCCGGCCGGCGCUGCUGCCGUGGCCCCCGCGGUCGGGUGUCCUCCGACAGCUCCUACAGAAAUGGGGGGCCACAGCGCAGCCGAGCCCCUUUGGAGCGGAGCGGGGCCGCGCUCCCACCGCAGCUCAAACUCAGCAUCACCUCCGACGAACUCUGUUGCUCGGCAACCACCAUCUGACGCCGGGCUGUAAAUUUUGGAUUAACAGAGAACUACCUAGGUUUGACCAUGACCUACACAACUAUAAUGAAGGUUUGCUUUGUGGAAUUGAUGCCAUCUCUCUUGGACUUUUCACUUUUCUUUAUGUGGCUGCACUGCACGUAAAUGACCUGCAGUUUUCCAAUGUCAGGAGAAAUUUCGUUCAGAACCAGAUGUGGACUUUAUUAUUCCUACUGCAAACAGAUGAUUCCAGCUGCUUCCAUGCAGCAAGAUUAUUUUCCAGGACAUGGCAUUUAAAGGACUCCUUCUUAUGUCACUUGGAAUAUUCAAGAUCCUCAUCCUCAAUGAUGGCUGAAUAGUCCCGCAGCUGAAGCAGACAUAGCUGCAAGGACUUCAAGAGCAUGUAUUGCAUGAACCUAUCUGAACACAGUGGGUCAAUACAUCGGAGCAUCCUAGUAUUGAAGGAAGGAGUAAAGAAGUUACAAGUUGAAGAUAGAAAGGACUAGUUGAGUCAACUUUUCAAAAACUGUGGGUUUGUCGGGUUGGUUGCAAACAUUGGUUAAAAUAGGUUUGCUUGUUCUUAUAGUUAUUGUUGUAUUGUUAAUGUUGCUUUGCUUAAUAACUUUUUUUGUUAAGGGUUCUUAGGAAGUCUUUUAAAGACAUUUUAAUUUUUCAACAGAGAAGGGGGAUAUGUGGAGAUAAAACUGGUUGGGCAUUGAUUUAAGACCAUGGGAUGUUAGCAAGUCUGUUCAUAUAAGGUUAUGCUUCCAGAAUGUUCUUAGUUUUCUCCCCUGACUGAUUGUCAUUUGCCACAUUAUUUUUAAUAUUUGUAAUCUCAGUCUGUGAUUGGAACCCUGCCUUCAGACCCACCCUCAGAUCUUCCUUAUAUAUCCUGUUGUACCCACCCUUUUAUCACCUUUUGUGGUUGACCCUAUACUGUGUAUUCACCUUUUGCCAUCUGUUAUUUUGCCAUUCAAGCAGUUUUACUUUUUGGGUCACCCAACCAUGCCUAUCCCGUUUAUUUGCCACACCACUCCUGGAUGGCCCAGGUCCGAGGCAGUGUAAGACAAAGUUUGAGAGUAGAUGGUUUAAGGAUUAUUCAUAAACUAAAUAAUAUAUAUAUAAAUGUAAAUGUAAAUAUAAAUAUAUAUUAUAUAUAUAUAUAUAUAAAAGUGUUAUUCUGUGAAGCACGCAGUGUAUCCUACAAAAACCUAGGAAUACUCCCUGGAAGAAAGCAAUGAUUCUUGAAUGAUAAUCCAGGAAAUAAUUUAAGAUCUGGGAUGAUUUGGGCUAAGGUUUGAAAGUGUUACAGUUACAGGUAUUUCCUACUGCCAUUUUUCUCUAUUUUUUCCACAUACAGGAAGCCAGGUUUGAGUAAGGCUAUUGGAAUUAAUUUUUAACUCAUGAAAGCAGCAUUAAAAGUCACCAUGAAGAACUAAAUAAACAGCUUGAUUUUCUGUUGCA